rnacentral:miRNA from 1 species
CUAGCAGCAUCUGGCUUUUGCU